GCACAAGGUCCUCAAGGGCAACCGGGUCGCAUGGGUGAUGAUGGGCAAAGAGGGCCCAUUGGACUCCCUGGAACAUUGGGAGAGAAAGGCGACAGAGUAGGUUAAACCAAAGCUUCAUCAGCCAUAAAGCUGCAAAUUGCAGGUCAUGAGAAUCACUAGAACACUGAUGACUAAGAUAUUUAUGACAAUGUCUUUGGACAUAUUAACUUAAUUCUCUCUUUGUAGGGUCCUCCUGGUUUCAAUGGUAUCCCUGGACCUACUGGUCCACCUGGAGCUCCUGUAAGCAGUUGUUUCAUGGCUGCAAAGUCUUCUUCUCAUUGGAGCUAUUGUAGGAGCAAAUGGACGAGUCACUUAACUUUUAACCUUUCAUUUCAGGGUGUCGAGGGGAUUCGUGGGCGUCAGGGGUUGGAAGGGCCUAAGGGUGAUGAUGGAGCUGUGGGACCUAAAGGAGAGCAGGGUCCUCAAGGGGAAAAAGGUGAUGUUGGAGUACCUGGAAAAAAUGGUGUUGAUGGACUUCCUGGAAUUGAUGGUGACAAGGGAGAGGCUGGUAUUCCUGGAGCUGUUGGAAUCAGGGGCAUUGUGGGUAUUCCAGUAAGUAUAACCUCAUUAAUAUAAAAAAGCAACAUGUAAUUUAUAGUACUUUCUUGACCUUUGCCACCAAAAAUCGAAGGUUUGGCAGUUUCUUGCUCACAAUGUUUUGUUCUUCCUAGGGGCUGCCUGGGAAGCAGGGAGUAGUCGGACCCCCUGGUGAAAAGGUAAAUGCUUAACUGGUAAUGAUAAACUACAUAACAAGUCUACAUAGGAAAACACAAGACAGAACUGUUGCAGUUUAGUAAAUUAUAUAUACAGUAAUUGUGUUGUGGAUGUAGGGAGAUACUGGUGCUGAAGGAGCCAUGGGACCAGUUGGACUGCCAGGAAAAACAGUGAGAUUACCCCAUUAGUCUCCUUUCUCAUUAGAAUUAAUUUUUGUUACAGCAUGUGAUCAUGUGCUAAAAAUAUUCAGAGG
rnacentral:lncRNA from 1 species